GCUGGGAGUUGGGGGGGGGGAGGGAAGGAAGGCGCAGUCCGAGCCCGUGGGAGCCUCCCCGGCCCCGCAGUCCCAGCAGCAAACUGCGCUUGGUCGGACGGAUACCCUCGCGGAGGAUGGAGCCACAUCAUGGGGAGAUGACAAGGAGGCCCUGGUGGCAUUGACCAGUGCUGAACAGAAGUGCUGCUGCUGUUGAGGUCUCUGCAAACCCUCUGGCAUGCUUUGCCCUCUCUGUUUCAACCAAGGAAGCACGUCCCAGAUGUGAAGGGAUUGGCCCAAGUUGAGCAGCUGAAAAACCACAACUCCAGCUCCAAAGAAACAGGAAGAGGUGGUGGAUCAUAACAAUGGUCCCCCCCAGCCAGCCUCCCCGUGAAGACUGAAGGAGAUAAGGAAUAGGAAGGAUUCAACAUGGUGCUGCUGUUAGCAACACUCUUCUUACUGCUCCAGAUCUGAGCUCCUCCCCUGACCACG